GGAUGUGAAAUCCCCGGGCUCAACCUGGGAACUGCAUUCGAAACUGGCAGGCUUGAGUCUUGUAGAGGGGGGUAGAAUUCCAGGUGUAGCGGUGAAAUGCGUAGAGAUCUGGAGGAAUACCGGUGGCGAAGGCGGCCCCCUGGACAAAGACUGACGCUCAGGUGCGAAAGCGUGGGGAGCAAACAGGAUUAGAUACCCUGGUAGUCCACGCCGUAAACGAUGUCUACUUGGAGGUUGUGCCCUUGAGGCGUGGCUUCCGGAGCUAACGCGUUAAGUAGACCGCCUGGGGAGUACGGCCGCAAGGUUAAAACUCAAAUGAAUUGACGGGGGCCCGCACAAGCGGUGGAGCAUGUGGUUUAAUUCGAUGCAACGCGAAGAACCUUACCUGGUCUUGACAUCCACGGAAGUUUUCAGAGAUGAGAAUGUGCCUUCGGGAACCGUGAGACAGGUGCUGCAUGGCUGUCGUCAGCUCGUGUUGUGAAAUGUUGGGUUAAGUCCCGCAACGAGCGCAACCCUUAUCCUUUGUUGCCAGCGGUCCGG
rnacentral:rRNA from 1 species